rnacentral:ncRNA from 1 species
AACUUGACUCAACAUGGAAAAAAUUACCUGGCCUGAACACAGAAAGGAUUGACAGAUUAAGAGCUCUUUCUUGAUUCUGUGGUGGUGCGUGGCCGUUCUUAGUUGGUGGAGCGAUUUAGCUGGUUAAUUCCAUUAACGAACAAAACUCUUAGACUUUGUGUCAGUUUUUACCAUGUAUUCUUGGUAAAAGUAUUUUAUUGAAGCAUCAGCAGUUCAUAAUUAUACAACUGUUAAUUUUUCCAAGCUUUCUUUCUUAUGGUAAUAAAUUUAUGUUAUUAAAAAAAGCAAUUUCAGUUGUAUUUCAUUGGAAAAUCAUUUUGACCCUGGACGUCAUUGUAUGUCAAGGGGU